GUGCUUGCUUCAGCAGCACAUAUACUCAAAUUAGAACGAUACAGAGAAGAUUAGCAUGGCCCCUACACAAGGAUGACACGCAAAUUUGUGAAGUGUUCUAAUAAAAA